rnacentral:rRNA from 1 species
GGCUGCUAAUACAUGCAAGUCGAGCGGACAGAAGGGAGCUUGCUCCCGGAUGUUAGCGGCGGACGGGUGAGUAACACGUGGGUAACCUGCCUGUAAGACUGGGAUAACUCCGGGAAACCGGAGCUAAUACCGGAUAGUUCCUUGAACCGCAUGGUUCAAGGAUGAAAGACGGUUUCGGCUGUCACUUACAGAUGGACCCGCGGCGCAUUAGCUAGUUGGUGGGGUAAUGGCUCACCAAGGCAACGAUGCGUAGCCGACCUGAGAGGGUGAUCGGCCACACUGGGACUGAGACACGGCCCAGACUCCUACGGGAGGCAGCAGUAGGGAAUCUUCCGCAAUGGACGAAAGUCUGACGGAGCAACGCCGCGUGAGUGAUGAAGGUUUUCGGAUCGUAAAGCUCUGUUGUUAGGGAAGAACAAGUGCGAGAGUAACUGCUCGCACCUUGACGGUACCUAACCAGAAAGCCACGGCUAACUACGUGCCAGCAGCCGCGGUAAUACGUAGGUGGCAAGCGUUGUCCGGAAUUAUUGGGCGUAAAGGGCUCGCAGGCGGUUUCUUAAGUCUGAUGUGAAAGCCCCCGGCUCAACCGGGGAGGGUCAUUGGAAACUGGGAAACUUGAGUGCAGAAGAGGAGAGUGGAAUUCCACGUGUAGCGGUGAAAUGCGUAGAGAUGUGGAGGAACACCAGUGGCGAAGGCGACUCUCUGGUCUGUAACUGACGCUGAGGAGCGAAAGCGUGGGGAGCGAACAGGAUUAGAUACCCUGGUAGUCCACGCCGUAAACGAUGAGUGCUAAGUGUUAGGGGGUUUCCGCCCCUUAGUGCUGCAGCUAACGCAUUAAGCACUCCGCCUGGGGAGUACGGUCGCAAGACUGAAACUCAAAGGAAUUGACGGGGGCCCGCACAAGCGGUGGAGCAUGUGGUUUAAUUCGAAGCAACGCGAAGAACCUUACCAGGUCUUGACAUCCUCUGACAACCCUAGAGAUAGGGCUUUCCCUUCGGGGACAGAGUGACAGGUGGUGCAUGGUUGUCGUCAGCUCGUGUCGUGAGAUGUUGGGUUAAGUCCCGCAACGAGCGCAACCUUGAUCUUAGUUGCCAGCAUUUAGUUGGGACUCUAAGGUGACUGCCGUGACAACCGGAGGAAAGGUGGGAUGACGUCAAUCAUCAGCCCCUUAUGACUGGGCUACCACGUGCUACAUGGACAAACAAAGGCUGCAAACCGCAGGUUUACGAACCCAAAAUCUGUUUCAUUUGGA